rnacentral:tRNA from 1 species
UCCUGGUUAGCUCAGUUGGUACAGCGCUCGACUGGAAAUUGAGAGGUCCUUGGUUUCGAUACCAGAACCAGGCA